AUGAUUUGAUCUUGCAGAUCUUCCUCGUGUUGUUGCUGUGUAUGUGUUUGGAUCAGUCGGUGUUGUGUUACUGAACUCUGUUGCUCUGAUAACAGAACUGAUCCUGAAAACAGGUAAUGGUGAAGGUGCGAUCGGAGACAUGAGGAUCGUCAUCUUCUCCUCUGAAUUCCUCUUCACCUUCAUUCUGAUGGUUUUACUGGUAUUUGAACCCUGGAUCACACCAGGUCUGCAGUCUUGUCAGAAGGCGAUAAAGUCUCGUCGAGCUGCAGCCGCUGGAUCACAGCUUAUAUGAGGA